UGAUGUUUUAGUGUUUCUGAAAACUGACAUUGUAAUGUAGUGAUGCUGCGUUUGACCCUCAGAGUUCCAGUUUUCUGGGAUGGCAUUCCUAUUGGGUGGUCAUUCAAAACGGAGCGCUAUUCUGGUACCCAAGACAAGCUGAUGCAGUGGCUGGUGUCCGGAAGCAAGGCUCUAAGGCUCUGAUGAAGGCUCACUGCAGAGUAGGUUAAAGCAUGGGACUAGUGCUUCUUCAGCCUCCAGUGCUUUGAUCUUUGGGCUCCAUCACUUUAAGGUGUCAUCCAAGAUGGAUCCAGAGGCUAUAAGAAAAAGAUGGUUGGAUGCCCCGGAGGAGCAUGUGGCCAACAGCAGCUGUCACUCUACCCAGGAGCAGACAGAUGAGGAGGGGGAUGAAGAUAGAUCUUGGCGACCACAGACUCCCUCCAGGGGAGAUGGUGACCUGAGCCCAGGUCUGCGCCCUGUUCUCCGCACUGACCUCUCUCAGCGGGCCAGCUCACUGCACGGGACCUGAAGAUGAACCUAAACACUUCAUGUCCUGUUUCUUUUACAGUCUGAAUUUCAUUCCUGUCGCUGUGAUCACAGCAUGUAGAACCAGGCUGUAUUCGGAGGUCAAAUGUUCAGAUAUGUUGAAAGUACGGUUGAAGUCGGAAGUUUACAUACACUUAGGUUGGAGUCAUUAAGUCAUUUUUCAACCACUCCACAAAUUUCUUGUUAACAAAGAAUAGUUUUGGCAAGUUCGUUAGGACAUCUACUUUGUGCAUGACACAAGUAAUUUUUCCAACAAUUGUUUACAGACAGAUUA
rnacentral:lncRNA from 1 species